rnacentral:rRNA from 1 species
GGGGAGGCAGCAGUGGGGAAUAUUGCACAAUCGGGGGGAAAACCCUGAUGCAGCCAUGCCGCGUGUGUGAAGAAGGCCUUCGGGUUGUAAAGCACUUUCAGUAGGGAGGAAGGUAGUGUAGUUAACACCUGCAUUAUUUGACGUUACCUACAGAAGAAGCACCGGCUAACUCCGUGCCAGCAGCCGCGGUAAUACGGAGGGUGCGAGCGUUAAUCGGAAUUACUGGGCGUAAAGCGCAUGCAGGCGGCCUGUUAAGUCAGAUGUGAAAGACCCGGGGCUUAACCUCGGAAUUGCAUUUGAAACUGGCAGGCUAGAGUCUUGUAGAGGGGGGUAGGAAUUUCAGGUGUAGCGGUGAAAUGCGUAGAGAUCUGAAGGAAUACCAGUGGCGAAGGCGGCCCCCUGGACAAAGACUGACGCUCAGAUGCGAAAGCGUGGGGAGCAAACAGGAUUAGAUACCCCUGGUAG